UACAGGGGUCUCAAGCGUUGUUCGGAUUCAUUGGGCGUAAAGGGUGCGUAGGUGGCGGGGCAAGUCAGGUGUGAAAUCCCGGAGCUCAACUCCGGAACUGCACUUGAUACUGCUUUGCUAGAGUACUGGAGAGGAGAUUGGAAUUUACGGUGUAGCAGUGAAAUGCGUAGAUAUCGUAAGGAAGACCAGUGGCGAAGGCGAAUCUCUGGACAGUUACUGACACUGAGGCACGAAGGCCAGGGGAGCAAACGGG
rnacentral:rRNA from 1 species